rnacentral:misc_RNA from 1 species
AACUUCUCAACCACAUCAGAUGUAUUUUCAUGUGGCUUGGAAUUGGGGGUCGUUUGCAGGCUUUUUUCUGUGAAAAGAAAGGUCGGCUCCCCUGAAAAGUAUUAGUGGUAUCUGAGCUACUGCUAUAGGUGUGAUAAUUAUCUAUGCCUUUGGUAUGCUGCACGAAACAGAUUGCACUGCUUAUUAACUGAACUUGAUAA